rnacentral:lncRNA from 1 species
UUGUUGCAUGUUGAAGAGCCAUUGACAUACAUCUUCUUGCCUUAAGGUCUUUAAGUAUGUAUCGGGCUUACUCAAUUUCAAUCUAGCAGAUGUCAGCUUUCUUGUCUUAGAAGCUUCUAUUUAUCCUUGCAAAAUAGCUAUCUAGCCUAAAAAAUGUUAUAUCUGAGUUUUCAUCUAGAAUAACUCUGCCAUAUCUUUCAUGUUGCAAUUUUCUUGCUAAACUUUACUAUUAUAAUGCCUUCUUUUUUUAGCUAUCUUCUUAAACUAACUUGUAGUAGUCCAAAAAUAGUACUUGAUGUGAUCACAAUAAUUG